UACCAUUGUCCUAGCAUGGCUAAACACAC
rnacentral:sRNA from 1 species